rnacentral:rRNA from 1 species
CACGCUGUAAACGAUGAAUACUAGGUGUGGGGGGACUGACCCCUUCCGUGCCGCAGUUAACACAAUAAGUAUUCCACCUGGGGAGUACGAUCGCAAGAUUGAAACUCAAAGGAAUUGACGGGGGCCCGCACAAGCAGUGGAUUAUGUGGUUUAAUUCGAAGCAACGCGAAGAACCUUACCAGGGUUUGACAUCCAACUAACGAAGCAGAGAUGCAUUAGGUGCCCUUCGGGGAAAGUUGAGACAGGUGG